rnacentral:misc_RNA from 1 species
UAAUGUGCGAAAAGUAAUGCGAAUUGCAUACCUCUGCGAGUCAUCAUGUCUUUGAACGCAAAUGGCACUGCCACGUCAAGUGGUAGUAUGCCUGUUUGAGAACCAUAAAACCAAUCACAACUAGUUAGUUGUGGAUCUGGCUUGUCACACGCAUGUGUGUGUGCGUCAAGCUGAAAUUGAUUACGUUGUGUGUGAUAAUUCACCAGUGUGUUAGUGAACAGUCGUUCCAUUCACUAGUGUAUUAUUGCCAUUCAAGCAACGUUCUUGUACAUAAAUAUUUACAUAUGUAAAUAUCUACGCACAACCCCAAAAUAUUUGGUCUCAAAUCAGGCAAGGCUACCCGCUGAACUUAA